rnacentral:rRNA from 1 species
GCGCAAGGGAUUUGAAGGGAGCUGCCUCUAGUACGAGAGGACCGAGGUGGACGAACCUCUGGUGUACCAGUUGUCGUGCCAACGGCAAGCGCUGGGUAGCUACGUUCGGAAGGGAUAACCGCUGAAAGCA